GGAGGAUCCGAGCGUUAUCCGGAUUUAUUGGGUUUAAAGGGAGCGUAGGUGGACAGUUAAGUCAGUUGUGAAAGUUUGCGGCUCAACCGUAAAAUNGCAGUUGAUACUGGCUGUCUUGAGUACAGUAGAGGUGGGCGGAAUUCGUGGUGUAGCGGUGAAAUGCUUAGAUAUCACGAAGAACUCCGAUUGCGAAGGCAGCUCACUGGACUGCAACUGACACUGAUGCUCGAAAGUGUGGGUAUCAAACAGGAUUAGAUACCCUGGUAGUCCACACAGUAAACGAUGAAUACUCGCUGUUUGCGAUAUACAGUAAGCGGCCAAGCGAAAGCAUUAAGUAUUCCACCUGGGGAGU
rnacentral:rRNA from 1 species